AACGUAGGAGACAAACGUUAUCCGGAGUUACUGGGCGUAAAGGGCGUGUAGGUGGUUGAGUAAGUCUGGCGUGAAAUUUUUCGGCUUAACCGGGAAAGGUCGUCGGAUACUGCUUAACUAGAGGACGGUAGAGGCGUGUGGAAUUCCGGGUGUAGUGGUGAAAUGCGUAGAGAUCCGGAGGAACACCAGUGGCGAAGGCGACACGCUGGGCCGUACCUGACACUGAUGCGCGACAGCAUGGGGAGCAAACAGG
rnacentral:rRNA from 1 species